ACUCCUACGGGAGGCAGCAGUAGGGAAUCUUCCACAAUGGGCGCAAGCCUGAUGGAGCAACACCGCGUGAGUGAAGAAGGGUUUCGGCUCGUAAAAACUCUGUUGUUAAAGAAGAACAUAUCUGAGAGUAACUGUUCAGGUAUUGACGGUAUUUAACCAGAAAGCCACGGCUAACUACGUGCCAGCAGCCGCGGUAAUACGUAGGUGGCAAGCGUUGUCCGGAUUUAUUGGGCGUAAAGCGAGCGCAGGCGGUUUUUAAGUCUGAUGUGAAAGCCUUCGGCUUAACCGGAGAAGUGCAUCGGAAACUGGAUAACUUGAGUGCAGGAAGAGGGGUAGUGGAACUCCAUGUGUAGCGGUGGAAUG
rnacentral:rRNA from 1 species